rnacentral:lncRNA from 1 species
CAAGCGGCCGCUUGAGUGAUUGACUACCUCAACGAUUGAUCUUUUGGAGUUCUCGACGUCUCGUGUUUCUCGUCUUCUUGAUGCAUGUCCUUUUUGCAUGUUCCUGGUUUAUGUUCGACAGUAUGCUACUCCUAGUUAUGUGCAAGGCGCGAGUGGUCAAUUUGUCGCCGCCAUGUUUGCAGAUCUCCGUUUUAUUCAGUAAAUAUAUGCGCUCACAUAGUUUAGUUUUUCAUAUAUUCGCAAUUGAAAUAUUAUGUCGCAUUUUAUCUACAUGCGUCCAUUUGAGUUGAAACACACGAAAACAAC